UAAUACGGAGGGUGCGAGCGUUACCCGGAUUUACUGGGUGUAAAGGGCGUGUAGGCGGUCUUUCAAGUCCGAUGCUAAAGACCGGGGCUCAACCCCGGGGGUGCGUUGGAUACUGUGAGGCUAGACGGUCGGAGAGGGUAGCGGAAUUUCCGGAGUAGCGGUGAAAUGCGCAGAUACCGGAAGGAACGCCAAUAGCGAAAGCAGCUACCUGGACGAUAUGUGACGCUGAGGCGCGAAAGCGUGGGGAGCAAACCGGAUUAGAUACCCGGGUAGUCCACGCCCUAAACGAUGAGUGCUGGGUGUCCGACAGCUGUUGGGUGCCGAAGCCAACGCGUUAAGCACUCCACCUGGGAAGUACGGUCGCAAGACUG
rnacentral:rRNA from 1 species